rnacentral:rRNA from 1 species
AACAGGAUUAGAUACCCUGGUAGUCCACGCUGUAAACGAUGUCGACUUGGAGGUUGUGCCCUUGAGGCGUGGCUUCCGGAGCUAACGCGUUAAGUCGACCGCCUGGGGAGUACGGCCGCAAGGUUAAAACUCAAAUGAAAUGACGGGGGCCCGCACAAGCGGUGGAGCAUGUGGUUUAAUUCGAUGCAACGCGAAGAACCUUACCUACUCUUGACAUCCAGAGAAUUUGCUAGAGAUAGCUUAGUGCCUUCGGGAACUCUGAGACAGGUGCUGCAUGGCUGUCGUCAGCUCGUGUUGUGAAAUGUUGGGUUAAGUCCCGCAACGAGCGCAACCCUUAUCCUUUGUUGCCAGCGAGUAAUGUCGGGAACUCAAAGGAGACUGCCGGUGAUAAACCGGAGGAAGGUGGGGAUGACGUCAAGUCAUCAUGGCCCUUACGAGUAGGGCUACACACGUGCUACAAUGGCAUAUACAAAGAGAAGCGAACUCGCGAGAGCAAGCGGGCCUCAUAAAGUAUGUCGUAGUCCGGAUUGGAGUCUGCAACUCGACUCCAUGAAGUCGGAAUCGCUAGUAAUCGUAGAUCAGAAUGCUACGGUGAAUACGUUCCCGGGCCUUGUACACGCCGCCCGUCACACCAUGGGAGUGGGUUGCAAAAGAAGUAGGUAGCUUAACCUUCGGGAGGGCGCUUACCACUUUGUGAUUCAUGACUGGGGUGAAGUCGUAACAAGGUAACC